rnacentral:tRNA from 1 species
GUAGAUAUAGUUUAAUUAAAACAUCGGACUGUGAAUCUGAAAAUUAGAGACUAUUCUCUUAUCUACC